AACGAACGCUGGCGGCAUGCCUAACACAUGCAAGUCGAACGAGACCUUCGGGUCUAGUGGCGCACGGGUGCGUAACGCGUGGGAACCUGCCCUUAGGUUCGGAAUAACUCCCCGAAAGGGGUGCUAAUACCGGAUAAUGUCUUCGGACCAAAGAUUUAUCGCCUUUGGAUGGGCCCGCGUUGGAUUAGCUAGUUGGUAGGGUAAAAGCCUACCAAGGCGACGAUCCAUAGCUGGUCUGAGAGGAUGAUCAGCCACACUGGGACUGAGACACGGCCCAGACUCCUACGGGAGGCAGCAGUGGGGAAUAUUGGACAAUGGGCGAAAGCCUGAUCCAGCAAUGCCGCGUGAGUUAUGAAGGCCUUAGGGUUGUAAAGCUCUUUUACCCGGGAUGAUAAUGACAGUACCGGGAGAAUAAGCUCCGGCUAACUCCGUG
rnacentral:rRNA from 1 species